GAGCGAUUCUCUUCGGAGAAGAGCGGCGGACGGGUGAGUAACGCGUGGGUAACCUGCCCUGUACACACGGAUAACAUACCGAAAGGUAUGCUAAUACGAGAUAAUAUACUUUUAUCGCAUGGUAGAAAUAUCAAAGCUUUUGCGGUACAGGAUGGACCCGCGUCUGAUUAGCUAGUUGGUAAGGUAACGGCUUACCAAGGCGACGAUCAGUAGCCGACCUGAGAGGGUGAUCGGCCACAUUGGAACUGAGACACGGUCCAAACUCCUACGGGAGGCAGCAGUGGGGAAUAUUGCACAAUGGGCGAAAGCCUGAUGCAGCAACGCCGCGUGAGCGAUGAAGGCCUUCGGGUCGUAAAGCUCUGUCCUCAAGGAAGAUAAUGACGGUACUUGAGGAGGAAGCCCCGGCUAACUACGUGCCAGCAGCCGCGGUAAUACGUAGGGGGCUAGCGUUAUCCGGAAUUACUGGGCGUAAAGGGUGCGUAGGUGGUUUCUUAAGUCAGAGGUGAAAGGCUACGGCUCAACCGUAGUAAGCCUUUGAAACUGGGAAACUUGAGUGCAGGAGAGGAGAGUGGAAUUCCUAGUGUAGCGGUGAAAUGCGUAGAUAUUAGGAGGAACACCAGUUGCGAAGGCGGCUCUCUGGACUGUAACUGACACUGAGG
rnacentral:rRNA from 1 species